GAAACAAAACACCCUAAGAGACCACAGAUGCCAGCCAAGAUUUCUUUAUCCCACAAAAUUUUCAAUAACCAUAGAUGUAGAAAACAAGAUAUUCCAUGAUAAAUUCAAAUUUAAACAAUAUCUAUUCACAAAUCCAGUCCUACAGAAGGUACUAAAAGAAAAACUCCAUCCCAAGAAGGCUAACUACAACUACACCCAUGAAAACACAGAAAAUGAAUACUCUAACACCAGCAAAACCAAAAGAAUGGAAAUACACACAUACACUACCACCACCACCAAAAAACCAGCAACAAAAUAACAGGAAUUAAUAAUCUCUGAUCAUUAGUAUCUCUCAACACCAACAAAUUCAAUUUCCCAAAAAAAGACACAGGAUAACAGAAUGGAUAGGAAAACAGGAUCCAUCCUUCUGCUGUAUACAAAGUACACACCUUAACAACAAACAUAGACUUUUCCUCGGAGUUGAGUGUUGGAUAAAGAUUUUCUUAGCAAAUGGACUGAAGAAGAAAGCUGGUGUAGUCAUUUUAAUAUUAACAAAAUACACUUCCAACCAAAAUUAAUCAAAAGAGAUAGGGAAAACCACUUCAUACUCAUCAAAGAAAAAACCCACCAAGACUUGAGCAUCUAUGCUUAAAAUGCAAGCACUCAUAUUAGUAAAAAGAAACAUUACUAAAACUUAAAGCAUUCAUUGAACCCCAUACACUAAUAGUGGGAGACACAAAUACCCCAUGUUCACCAAUGGACAGGUCAUCCAUGAAGAAAUAACAGAGCCAACAGAAAUAUAUAUAUAUAUCUCAAACAUGUUGUUUUUUUUCCAAAAUUUACUGAAUACUCCAGAAACAAACCAAGUCUCAAUAAAUACAAGAAAAUCAAAAUAACCCUCUCAAUCUUAUCUGACCACCAAGGAUUAAUACUGGAUUUCAACAACAGCAGAAACAACAGAAAUCCCAGAAACUCAUAUUAGCCACAUAAUAUCACACCUGAAAGCCCUAGAAGAAAAAGAAGUAAACACACUCAAGAGGAGUAGACAUCAGGAAAUAAUCAAACUCAGGCCUAAAAUCAAUAAAA
rnacentral:lncRNA from 1 species